AUUGAACGCUGGCGGCAGGCCUAACACAUGCAAGUCGAACGGUAACAGGAAACAGCUUGCUGUUUCGCUGACGAGUGGCGGACGGGUGAGUAAUGUCUGGGAAACUGCCUGAUGGAGGGGGAUAACUACUGGAAACGGUAGCUAAUACCGCAUAACGUCGCAAGACCAAAGAGGGGGACCUUCGGGCCUCUUGCCAUCGGAUGUGCCCAGAUGGGAUUAGCUAGUAGGUGGGGUAACGGCCCACCUAGGCGACGAUCCCUAGCUGGUCUGAGAGGAUGACCAGCCACACUGGAACUGAGACACGGUCCAGACUCCUACGGGAGGCAGCAGUGGGGAAUAUUGCACAAUGGGCGCAAGCCUGAUGCAGCCAUGCCGCGUGUAUGAAGAAGGCCUUCGGGUUGUAAAGUACUUUCAGCGGGGAGGAAGGGAGUAAAGUUAAUACCUUGACUCAUUGACGUUACCCGCAGAAGAAGCACCGGCUAACUCCGUG
rnacentral:rRNA from 1 species